GUUUUCUGCAGGUGUGUCUUCCACAUGGGGAGAUUCUUCUAGUUUUAGUCUGAAGGAAAAGGAAGUUAUCACCAAGCUCACCUGAUUUUGAUAUGAAAGGCCUGCCUGAAAAUCAAACACCUAACUCUCUACCACCUUUCAGACGGUGACCCCUCUCAGCCUCCAUCACCCAUCGCUACUACUGUGUCUUCCAACCUGGCAGAUGUCUAAUGUCUUCAAAUAAACCUCCAUGAACUCCCCAGCAGGUGCCACAGAUGAUUCUGACCCCAAUGAAGAGGACUGAUGGUUAUAUGGCCUCUCUAGGUUGGAAACUGCCAACUUACUACAUUUUCUAAAAAAUAGGCAUCAGGAAAAAGUAAACUGCUUGAGGUAUGA
rnacentral:lncRNA from 1 species